UACGGAAGGUGCAAGCGUUGUUCGGAUUGACUGGGCGUAAAGAGCACGUAGGCGGGUUUGUAAGUCGCUUGUGAAAGCCCUGGGCUUAACCUGGGAACGGCAAGCGAAACUGCAAGUCUUGAAUGUCUGAGAGGUUAGUGGAAUUCCUGGUGUAGGAGUGAAAUCCGUAGAUAUCAGGAGGAACACCGGAGGCGAAGGCGGCUAACUGGCAGAGCAUUGACGCUGAGGUGCGAAAGCGUGGGGAGCAAACAGG
rnacentral:misc_RNA from 1 species